rnacentral:rRNA from 4 species
UACCCGCUGAACUUAAGCAUAUCAAUAAGCGGAGGAAAAGAAACCAACAGGGAUUGCCCUAGUAACGGCGAGUGAAGCGGCAACAGCUCAAAUUUGAAAUCUGGCCUCGGCCCGAGUUGUAAUUUGCAGAGGAUGUUUCUGGCGCGGUGCCUUCCGAGUUCCCUGGAACGGGACGCCACAGAGGGUGAGAGCCCCGUAUGGUUGGACACCAAGCCUGUGUGAAACUCCUUCGACGAGUCGAGUAGUUUGGGAAUGCUGCUCUAAAUGGGAGGUAAAUCUCUUCUAAAGCUAAAUACCGGCCAGAGACCGAUAGCGCACAAGUAGAGUGAUCGAAAGAUGAAAAGCACCUUGAAAAGGGGGUUAAACAGUACGUGAAAUUGUUGAAAGGGAAGCGCUCAUGACCAGACUUGUGCCGGGCGGUUCAUCCGGGGUUCUCCCCGGUGCACUCCGCCCGGUUCAGGCCAGCAUCGGUUCUCGUUGGGGGAUAAGAACGGUAGGAACGUGGCCCUCCCUCGGGAGGGUGUUAUAGCCUGCCGUACGAUACCCUGAUGGGGACCGAGGUUCGCGCUCCGCAAGGAUGCUGGCGUAAUGGUCAUCAGCGACCCGUCUUGAAACACGGACCAAGGAGUCGUCCAUUAGAGCGAGCGUUUGGGUGUAAAACCCGCACGCGUAAUGAAAGUGAAAUUAGGUGAGAGCUUCGGCGCAUCAUCGACCGAUCCUGAUGUUCUCGGAUGGAUUUGAGUAAGAGUUUUAACGGACGGACCCGAAAGACAGUGAACUAUGCUUGUAUAGGGUGAAGCCAGAGGAAACUCUGGUGGAGGCUCGCAGCGGUUCUGACGUGCAAAUCGAUCGUCAAAUAUGAGCAUGGGGGCGAAAGACUAAUCGAACUGUCUAGUAGCUGGUUACCGCCGAA